UGAAGUUGGGUGCUUAACCCACUGAGCUACCCAAGCAUCACCAUUAUUUGAUUUUUCAUCAAGUGUUUCUUGUUCUCUUCUAUAUUGGUUAUGGUUUAUACAGAUGGUUUAUUCAGUCAUUUUGUUUUCAUCUGUGGCUCAAGGACAUCUUGGCAUUUGCUUCUAUUUUCCACUAAUGCCGCAUAUUGCUAUUACUAAGUUUAUAGUCUAAGCUUUUGUUUGGGCAAAUGAUCUGAUUUUUCAAUAGAGUAGGAUUCAGUGCCACUAAUAUACUUUAAAAUAACAUUUUAAAAUUGCCUUUUUCCCCCUACUUAGACGUUUAGUUGCUUUACCAACAUACAAUUUCUUAUGGAUAAGAUUUCCAUUUAACACCAUGAUUUAGAUUAAAUUACUUUCUUAAAAUCACAUCACUCCCAUAGUCUACUUAGUUUUCUAAUUCCCAUAUGUUCCACUAUUGCUGAAGCAACUUCAUCUAUAUAACGUGACUGAAGAGUCAGCCUUCAUUCACAACACAGCACAAUCUGUUAAAGUGGUAAAUAUUACCCAUUUCUAUUAUUAGAGCUGAAAUGGAAUUUUCUCUUGCUGCAUUUUCAAGAUGUGACAUAAUUAGAUAGCAAACAUAGAAAAGUCAGAAAUAGUGGAAGCUAACGGAUGUCAUCAGUACCAGGGAAGCUUGAAUUCAGCCUGUCUUGCUUGGCUCCUGACUCGUUCACACAACGCCCCCAGGCCAUCUCAUUCUCUGUUUGAAUUAUAGGGUGCUAUGUGAGCUUUGCAGGUACUGGGGUAAGGAAGCGUGAAGCAAGGUUUCCAAUUCUAUAUUGGUUUUCAGACUGAAUGAGAACAGGGAAAUUCUCGCUUGAUGUUUCAAUUCCCUUCAGCUUCCUACAGACACCCUUUCCCAGCUCUGAGAAGUAGCUGAGUAGUUCUUCAUUUUAUCUGGAGAGGCUUCUGACUUCUCCCUUCUUUAUUAACUACAAAUCAGAAUUGUAAACAAACAAAUAACUGUCCUUGUUGCAGAAUUGUUAUUGUAAUUAGUGCAGUAUACAAUUCCUGGCAGAAAUGAGAAAUGAGGGUGGAAUGGGUGAAUGUGUGUGUGUGUGUGUGUGUGUGUGUGUGUGUGUGUGUGUGUGUGUAGACCUCACAAAAGUGAUUGAAGAAGGAACUGGGCUAACUGGAGAAAACCUAAAAUGAAUCAUUUUUUUAAACAAAAACUUAUAAGAGCUUUAUAGUUAAAAAUCAAACUUACCCGGGGCCUAAGAGUUUAUUAAGGGAAAACUUUUAUAUCUUCAACAGGGCUAUUAACAUUGUAGUGUACCAGCUAAUGCCUACAUUGAGUGCAUCAGUGGAAUUAAACUCAGGUCCCCUGACUUUCAAGUUGUGCAUUAAUCACUGAUGCUGCAUGGUCUGGCUUAUCUCAUUCCUUAAAUAGUUUCCUACUCUUUAUGUUAUUAUUAGGUCAUAGUAUAUUGAGAAUUCUAGGUAAACUUAAUAGGGUAGCAUGACUUGAUUUGUUUUAAUAAACUUUAGAUAAAAUUGCUGGUUUCUCUAGACUGGUAUGAUUUGCAAUUCCCCAUGAAAAUCUUCCUUUUGACUCAUACAUUUUGGAGUUAGGAAAGAUGCAAAACUCUUGUUUUCCUUAUAAGGUGUAUGUGGGUAGUGAAAAGAGGCCUGAAUAGACUUUCAUGAGCCAAACCUUCUCAUAGACCUUUGCCCAUAAUGAACCUUCUGACCUCAGGUGGAUUAUGUAAUCUCUCAGCAACCUGUUUCUAUCAUAUGCAUAAUUAUAGGGGAUGGAAUUUAUGAUCUUUCUUUAUGAUUUUGGUAUGGCUGAAAAUCCAUAAGAUCUGAACAAGAAACACCAUUGGAGUUCUGUAUGUUUGGCAUUGUUCUUUGACUUACUUUGUGAGUGAAUAACAGGAACACCAAAGAUUUUUCAUUUCUUUGUUGAUGCUCAACAAACCAUGUUGAGAUUAUGUCUCUUUUGGUAGGAAGAGGAAUGACUAAAUGAGUGAUUUCUUUAUUUGUUGAGAUGUUCCCAGCAUGUUAACCACACAUGACAGUAACCUUUUCAAAUUGUCUCUGUCUUUCUUGGUGACAAAGUGACUUCAUUUUAUAGGUAGUUCACAGGUAUCUCAGAGGCCUCUGGAGCAACCAUUAGUAAAAAGACAUGAUGACUCCUUUCUAGAUCUGAUGUAUAAGGGUUUGUAUUCCCAGCUCUUUUCCAGAGUUUAGGGCAAUGAUCAAAUCAAACAUUUUAUGUGUGGUUAUAAGAACUCACCUAUAAAAGUAUACACUAAUAUCUGAGAAUGCUUGUAUUGUUGCUAGGUAAAUGAUUCCCUACCUUAAACCUUCCUCGUUGCACAAAAAUGUUUUGACCAAAAGUGUUCAUAUCUUGAGCUUGAUUCAGACCUAGUCUAAGAUGAAACUUUCAAGGAUGAAUAAUGAUGUGACAGAUUGUUGUAUUUACUGGAUGCUUGUUACAUGCCAGGCACUGUGUACUGUAUGUUCAUUACUAUUUAUAGGCAUUAUCUCAUCUUAAUGUUUAACAACAGUCUUAUGAAAGAAGGACUAAUAUUGUGCCUAUUUUGUAGAUAAUGUGACUGAGGCUCUGAGGGAUUACAUGACUUCUCCAGCUUCGACUCAAUUAGGAAGUGUUGGAACUAGAACUCAAAUCCAUGUCAGCUUGACCAAAAAAGUUUGUUUUCACCAAUACUGCACAAUUUUAUCUCACCAGGUCAUCUUUCUUCUGCCCAGGAACAAAUUCCCUCACUGUCAGCAGGUGAUACCUUAAGUGCAAAGAUACUUUCUCUAACACAGACAUACUUUGAUGGACAUGUAUUCCUGCCCUAUUGAUUAUUCUGAAAUUUUCCUUCUGGUGGAGAACCACUGAAAAAUACUUGAGAAGUCACAUAUUCCUAUUUACAUAGAGACAUUGCUAUUUCUUAAAUUCAAGGAAAUUCCUCCAAAUUUAAAUGAACAUCUUUCUUCCCUUUGAAAACAAAAGUGCCUCUCAGCCAACAAAUGAGUGAAAAAAGACCCCAACAGGUCUUUUAAUUCGCAGAUGCUUGAAAUAAGUGAAGAUCAAAAGGUUUUUUGCAGACUGCUUUUCCCUCUGGGAGACAUUUGAGCAUGUUAAGAAUAAGCAUCACUUAAAAAAAUUAAUAAAACAAGUUGGAUUUUAAAUAUGUUCCAAAAAAUAGGUUUGCACAAAUAUUGUGCCAUCUUGUGCUGUUCAUCUUAUGCUUUUAGACACCCAAUGAAUAGUUCUUUCCUACAUCCAACCCGUGCUGUUUGUACAUACAGACUUUUGUAGAACAUCUUAAUUUAACCAGAAAGAUCAUUACCAUGCAACACAUUUAUAUAUUGCAGAAAGCCCCACAAAAAGGUAUCUGUGUCCUUGCAGAUAAGAAUGUUCCCAUUUAGAUUAACUGAAAGAAAAACAAGCCUAACAAUAGAUGUUGCCUUUAAAAAAUAAAUAAUCUGAUUUUCAAAUAACAUCCCAAAGCCACUAUGGGAAUAGCUGUCAUUCUGUCAAAUAGAGUUGGCCUAGUUUGCAGUGGAGCAUCUUAAAUGGCAAGGGCCAAAUGCGUGUUUAAAAUUCCCAGUUGAGUUGUUUCUUCUGGAGGCAUAUGGACUGUCUGACCAUCUCUUUCACUAAGAUUACAGUCAGUAUCUUCUGUUUUGUUUUUUGGAAUUACUUACAUCCAACUAGGACCAUCUUUAGAUAAAACUAUGAAGGAGAUAAGGCUUGUUUAAAGUAUCCCCUAAUCUACCUUUUAGCAUCCUCCUCUGGGAAGCUUGUUGUGUGCCCCACUUCUGAGAGGGAGUACCUGGUUUAUUGCCUGUCACUCUAGCUGAUGACCCCAGUAUACUCUGUUUAACCACCACCACUCACAUCUUUGCUCCCCACACAUGUUCUGGAACAUCCCUUUCACCUUGUCUUUCAUUUGUGCUUACCUGACUGAGUUCCAUUUUCCCAGGGUGAUUUGAGGCUAAUGUGAUAAAGUAAUGACUGAUAUUGGGUGAGCAAAACAUUAGCAUUUAAAUAGGGACCUUCUGGAGGAGAUGCACUUAACAAGGAAGAGGUCUUCAGAAGGAGCAAUUUCAGACAUUAUGACAGGACCAGGUCAGAGAUAAUUUUGUCAGAUGGGGCCUUGAGGUUAUGAGCAGGGGCAGCCCUAGUUUCUAGCCUUUCUCUCAGUCAGGAUUUCAAACAUUUAUGGCAGGAUCCCAACAGCUUUUACAGGACUUUUGACAUAAGUACUUUGACCCAAGAACAUUUCCCCCUGCUCCUUGACAGGCUCCACCUUUCCUCCUUCAGAGAAGUAUACUGUUCUUGAAGCAAUUGAAAAUAGAACCUCUCUAGCAGUUGGCAAGGAAACAUGAGUAUAAACGUGGCAAAUGAACAUUUUCAAAAGGCCCUAAAUCCAGGGCCUCUGCAUCCCAUAGCUCCAGGGUGCUAUCCACAUAGAAUCACAAUGAUCCUUGUCUCCUGGAGAUCUGAACACAGAAGGCUGUGCAGGAAUCCUGAUUUGUGCUUGGGGCUCCUGAACAGAAAGAAGUGCGUUCUACUCAGCCUAAUCAGGACUACGGAUAAGUUUUUACUCUCCCUUUUUCUGUAGGUGCAAUGUAAGUAUCCUGAUUUAGGGCUCAGUGCUUCACCAUCAUCCUUUUACCCCCUGAAAUACUGAGAAAGUAAGAGGUUGCUACAUGAACCACAAACUACAAGGGGUGCUUUGGGACCAUUUAACAAGUCUGCCUAAAGAAUACCUGUAUGAAAGGGGCACUGACUUAAGGCUGGUUACUUUAUUAUCUUUAUUAAUAUAUUCAAUGUCCUCUCCCUGGUUCUUUGGAUAAAGAUGAUGGGUGAGACAUCUGUUCCAAAGCUGUUCCAUUGAAUGGCGAUUUUGAUGACUUAAUGCCUUUUCAGACUUCUGCUGCCACUGCUGUUCUUUGGUUUUGAUUUUCAAGCAGCUGAAUGGAAUCUCUAAGCCUUCCAUUAUGUCUGCCUUUUUUUUUUUAAUUCUGAGGAAAUAAUUCAGAACACGUCAAGGACAAAUGCUUGAGUUAUAGAAACAUUUUUUAUUACCAUUAUUAUUACAAAGCAACCCAAAAGAUCCUUUAAUUUCUUUGAUUGUUUAAAGUAGCUCUGUAGAAACAUGACGUCUUAGAUGUGAAGAGAGUUUAUAAUUGAGCACAAGUCUGAAUGCCCGGACAAUGUAGUGGGUUGCUGGGAUUCCCAGGGACUCUGGAAAGUGAAAGAGGUCAGUAAAAGUUUAUCAGAAUUUGAUAGCAGCCUCCAUACAAACAUCCAGAUAAAACUACAGCCAGUUACUAUGUAUGGCUUAUUAUGCACACACCCCCCAACUCCUCAAAUUCUGUGGAGAUUUAAAUCUUUCAUCUAGAAUAAAGAUUUGUAGCAUAAUGACCCGAUUUAGCUACAAAGAAGAAAUAAAUCUGACAGCUGGGACCAGAAGAAGUAUUAAUCUCCAAAGUUCACGUGAGUCUUUGUUUCCCCCUUUCAGUUUUUAUGCAGCAGGGGCAAAAAAAAGAGUGAGCAACUCUGUUUGUAUUUCAGUUCAAAUUACAUUGCUUGGAAGAAAAAGGACAGGGAAACGGGGAGUGGGUGUUAGACAGAGUUGAAAGAAAGAUUUUCCAUUCUUUACAGACAGAGUAACCGACAGGAAAGUGAAGAGAUGGAGCUGAGCUAGUCCGUGCCAUGGUCUGUCCAGGGCUGCAGAGAGAAGCAGGUGGAUAAGAAGGGGAAAUGAAACUUCUAGCUAAGAUCUCCAAAAUAAACCUUGAUGGAUCAUGAAGAAAGGAUGAAUCAUGAGGAAGGGGACCUAUAUAUUUCUUACCAGCUCUGAGAAAGGUCUCAUCUGGAAAGCUGAGCUCAUGUCUGGGGACUGCGCUUUAAAGAGAGUGCUGUUGUUCUGGCCAGCGCUGGGUGAGAAGGUGCCAGGAAGUAAAGGGCCUGGAAACCACAUUAUUAAAGCCUAGGAAAGCUUAUUUUGGAAAAAGUUUCCACCUUAAGAAAAAUUGAAUGCACUGAGGAAAGGCUAUGUAGGGAUCCAGCAAGAAGGAAACCUUCUGUAAACCAGCAAGAGAGAUCACACCAGACCCUGACCAGGCUGACACCUUGAUGUUGGACUUCAGCUUUCAAAACUGCUACUUGCAGAACAGAAAGGAAGCUGCAGCUGUUUUGAAGCUGUGGAGCUUUUCUGGAUAAAGUUCAGGGACAACCUCAUGACUAAAAGUCAUCUUUUUCCAUAACGAUCCUGAGAACCCCUCCUCCUUCAGAGGCCAUCAGUUUGGUAACUCCCAUCAAUAAGUGAGUAUUGAAUUAAAUUUACUAAACUGAAUCACAUCUCUCCAGACCCCAGUCUAGCAGCAGACUUCACCAUGUCCUAUAUUUCUUGUCUGUUCUGCCCGGGAGAAAACUGGUUAUCAGAAAGAAAAGAAAAUGUUUGAUAAAUUCCUACAUCCUGUUACAGAAGAUAAUAAAAAUGUAUUGAUGGCCCUUGGGGCAAUGGCGUUUACAAAUGGUGACUUUAGUGUGGAUUGCAAAAAGGUGCCUCCUGUGGUCAGGCUAAUUGCAAAAUGGAGCUUCCUCAGGCAGGAGGAGGCCCUGGUGUGUUUUGACCCCUCCCUUCGCCCCACAGAAGGCUCAGUACUGAGUUACAGGUGCCUUGGUGAGUGCUCUGGGGAUUGGGGGGAGGGGUGGCUUUGAAGACAUUUUUAUCUUUUACAUAUUAAGUAAGAAGACUACAGAAGUAAACAUUUUCAUAGGAGACCAAAGAAUGUUAAUUAGUGAAGCUACCUUUCACAUUACUUAUAUUUUGGAGAAAGAUAAUGAAUCAAAUUAGUUAUAGCAUUGCUAAUGAGCAUUAGCAAUAUAGUUUGGCAUCAGUCAGACCUGUAUUCGAAUCCUGUCUGUGACACUAUUUGCUAUGUGACUUGAAUAUGUUACUUAACUUCUCUGGUCUCAUUUUACUCACUGGGAAAUGAGAUAAUAAAGUUCAACCCCGAGUGUUGGAGGGCAGGGUUAAAUACACGAAGGUAAGCUUCUGGUAUGAACAAUGCAUUCAGUUUUUGUUUGUUGAUGUAGGAUCUCAAUAUGCCCUGCUUUUGAUUUUUAAAGAUGUGCUUACAUUCUUAGCAUAUCAAUUAGUGCUAUUAAAAUAAAUGAAUAAAUGAAAAAAGGAGUAGUGUAUAUAAUAAGAUGGCCAAAAAGAGUGCUAAAUUGUAGUUUCAAAGUGGUAGCCUAUGUCACUUCCUGAUUUGUAUUAAUUUUUUUUAUCUCAUACAAACUGAAGAAUAUGAGCGCUAAUAUUUCUUUAUGAUGAAUGUGGUUCAUUGCCCUUCAUCAUGCUAAAGUAGAGAUAUUUAGGUAAAAACUGAAUUUCACGUGUCAGAGUUGAAUCUAGCCUGUCAGUAAUACUUACUCAAUAAAAAGAACACUUUUAAUAAAUAACUUUAAUGGACAUCACCUUUUAAAAUGCAAAGUUAUUGGAAUGCUUUUUAUUUGUCCAAUCUGUUUUUUAUUUGUACAAGCUAAAUUCUAUCCAUUUGUGAUGAGCACUUUAUUUGGUUUCUGUCACAUCUUUCUUCCAGAAAAGCUUUACUUAUGGAGCUAAUGACACAACUGAAUUACGCAUGGACUUAAGUGAUAGGAAAUAUUUCUAAAAUACUGCCCUUAUGAAUCUGCUAAUAAGUUGAUGCCUGUUUUUCAUUAAUGACCUGAAAAACAAGUGAAGCUUGUGGCAUUUCAGGCAAAACUGUGUUGAUUACAGCGCUUCUUCUAUGUUAUGCAGGAAAGAGUUUUUUCCAGUUAUCGCGCAUCUUGAUUAAAAUAUGUGCAGAUCCAUUUUGAGGCAUACAAAAUAUCGUUAGAAAUAUCUGCCGGGCAUUCUUUUGAAACCAAGAGAUCGAAUAAUAAUAUAGUGAAAUUAUUUAAGGCAGAUUAUGAAGAAUGUGUUCUAUAAAUGGUGAAAUUCCCAGCUCUACUCCUCACUUAAACUAGCAAUGCAAUUUUUUUAAAUUAGAUAAUGGGGAUACAUUUUAUGGUUUUGUCCUGUACGCUCGUUAACAUCAUUGUUUGCUUACUGCACGGUGAUUCUAAUAUCAUUUUAUAAAUACCAUAGUAUCGUUUCGCAUUUGACAUGAGAGAAAAUGGGGUUGGGUUUUUAAUAUCCAUGUCAUUUCUCACCUUCUACACAUACAUUUUCCUACCUUUGUGGUUCCGAUAUAACUGGUGUGUGAAUCUAGGAAUAAAAGACAAUGUCGGGUGUGCGGCGACAGAAUUAGACUUGCCUGGAUGACUGGCCUGGGGAUGCAGCGCGGCUCUCUGGAGCUUGGCUUGCCACUCAGGGAAGCUCCAUCAUGGGAUUAUAGUGUUUUUUCAAGCUGUCUGAUGAGAGACUUUUAACUCACAACAUCUAGGUAUUGCAAUGCCUUCUUUCCGUCACGGUUGCUAGAAACACACAGCCUUUUGUCAGGCUACAGAAUGUUUUAAUUCCCAAUGCAAAUCUGGGUGACAUGUUUGUUACGCUAGCGGAUAUACCUGACAGAUCCUAUUCUGAGUUUUCCAGGAAAAAACACACGGCAGCACGUUUGUGGGAUAUCAGUCCUUUUAUGUGAGCAUAGCAUGCCUUUUAGUAAUUGAAGAAACCAUGUCAGACCGGAGCUGAUUUGAUAUAAAAAUAACUUGCAAGCUGUGUUUGUAUAUAAUUCCUAGGGUAAGAUCAUUUUAACAGAUCUGAUUGUUAGUUUUAAGAACGGUUUUAUGGUUUGCACGAAGCAGUAAAUAAUAGUAAGGGCAAAUAAAAAUAAAGCUUUCAUCACACCUUUGUUAACCUUUAGAAAUACAUUCAUUGAGUUUUUGAGUUACUUACACAUAUGUAUACAGAAUGUGUAAAGAAUUAUGGUGCGUGCACUCAAAUAACCUAUAAAACAGAACAAUUACACACACAUGUUUCUGAAGCCAUAAGUCAUAGGUGUUCAUAAAAGUAUGCUGAAGUGUAUUUAAUAUUCAGUGCAAACAUAGAUAUUAAGAAAGCUUUCCUUGAGAUUUAAACUCCAUUCUUUAUUUAUAAUGAGAUACAUUGCCUUUAGCCACCAAAACACAGGUUCAGAUUCUGGUCACUUAGAUGUGAGGAAAGUCCCUGAAAUGAAUUGUUGGUCACAGUGUUUAAUAAUGUUACUGGGUUGGCUCUGGAAACACAGUCUCCAGGUAAUAAAGUUCCCUGGGCCCAAAAGCACAUCACAUUUUAGAUCACAUUACACUGUGUCCCAAGGUUAUCCAUUUCUGUUUUUAGAAUUAAAGGAAGGGAAAAUAUGAGUAAAGCUGGUUUUGAAAUUUUUUAUUACUUUUGUUUAGUACCACUACAAAGAUUUUAGAAACAUGUUCUCUCAACUACAAGGUGUUAGUAUUUCUAAGAUUUCAGCAGUAUCUCUCCUUUCCUUCUUCAUCCAUUACAUCUUCAGCUUGCUUUUGACUCCUUUGUAUGUAAGGGUCUUUAUUUUGAGUUUAUCAUCCUCAGUAUGGGGUUUAUUAUUGGGGACUCUUCCAUGUAUGUCAAUUUAGGAAGAACAAAUAGUAUAAAAGUAGGUGGGACUGGAUUAGAACUGAGCAUGUGUCCUUUUAAUCUUUUCAUUAAAUGCAAAAAGUACACUUGGAUAAUCGUGUUUUAUUUAUUAUUUUUAAACUAAUUUUUCCUUUUCUUCUUUUCUAUUUUUAUUUUUAAUUUUUUGACU